rnacentral:rRNA from 1 species
AUGAAUGCUAGUUGUUGUGAGGCUUGUCCUUGCAGUAAUGCAGCUAACGCAUUAAGCAUUCCGCCUGGGGAGUACGGUCGCAAGAUUAAAACUCAAAGGAAUAGACGGGGACCCGCACAAGCGGUGGAGCAUGUGGUUUAAUUCGAAGAUACGCGAAGAACCUUACCUAGGCUUGACAUUGAUAGAAUCUGCUAGAGAUAGCGGAGUGCUGGCUUGCCAGAGCUUGAAAACAGGUGCUGCACGGCUGUCGUCAGCUCGUGUCGUGAGAUGUUGGGUUAAGUCCCGCAACGAGCGCAACCCUCGUCCUUAGUUGCUAGCAGUUCGGCUGAGCACUCUAAGGAGACUGCCUUCGU